rnacentral:rRNA from 1 species
UACGUAGGGUGCAAGCGUUAAUCGGAAUACUGGGCGUAAAAGCGUGCGCAGGCGGUGAUGUAAGACAGGUGUGAAAUCCCCGGGCUUAACCUGGGAACUGCAUUUGUGACUGCAUCGCUGGAGUGCGGCAGAGGGGGGAUGGAAUUCCGCGUGUAGCAGUGAAAUGCGUAGAUAUGCGGAGGAACACCGAUGGCGAAGGCAAUCCCCUGGGCUGCACUGACGCUCAUGCACGAAAGCGUGGGGAGCGAAAC